AUCAAAAUGGCCUGGGACAAGCAGAGAUUGUAGAGUGAGACAUGAAAUUUUCUGUAUACCAAAGAGAAGAGAAUUUUAAGAAAUGUAAUGGGGAGCACCACAGCUGAAGGUAUUUUUACCAUUUAACAUGUAGCAUUUUUAAGUUUCAAAGAAUGUCCUCAUAGCAGUACCGUUUUGAAAUACAUACAUGUGUGGGUGCGGGUAUGUGUACAUGUACUUGCCAUUGCAGACUUGAAUGUGGGUCAGUCAGAACCGUCCCCUACAUAAAACACUGGUGUAUAUAUUUUUGAAAAAUUAAUAUGGCUAUAAAUUUUAUACCAGUAGCAGUGACAAAUUUCUUGUGUGUAGUUAACAAAUUAUUUGUAAUGUAUUUUUUAGAGAUCUUAAAAUUGCCUUUGCACUGAAAUAUUUUUCAUACUGUAGCUAUUUAUAAAUCUGUUUUACGCAUACAUUUGUUAACACACCGUUUCUAUUUUUUUGAAGUAUAUGUUUUGAAAGCUUUUUUUAUACCUAUGAGUUUCUGGCCACUUCGAUUUAGCUUAGCGUGGAGUCGUGGCUGAAUGUUAACAUGCUAAUGAAUGUCACAUUGGAAAAGCAGGUCUGCUGCUCUGCCAGUCUCACCCAAGCUGUUGAUGUUCUGUUGGGCUUUGCGAUAGCAGAGAGGAGAGCGCUGUAUUUCCAGCGCUUUGCUAUUACUGCUGGCUUUUUUACUCUCUAGGGCCUCCUGCUUUUUUACUUGUCUGAGUUCCAUCUUUUAGCCUUAAAUGAGAUUUUUUGCUUGAUGUUUUUGAAAAUGCUGCAUUCCUGUUCUGCCUACUAACAAAGCAGUUCAUUGCAAACUUCAUGUAGCCCUGCACUUCGAAAUUACUGCCAUUAUUGAGGCUGAAACACCUCUAUAAGUGCUUGGGAAAUUUCAGUUAAGCAUGUCAUUUUGGGGGGGGAGAAAGAAUGCUUGAAUUUAAGUGGAAGUUUCUGCUUUGAUUUAGCAAUACUUUUACCUUGAAAAGUUGGUACUGUUUGCUUGUUAAAAUAGACCGUUUAGUGGAAAAAAAAACCCAUAAAACAUUGACUGGGUUUCACUUGACAUGCUUUUGCUUCAGUCCCUGUUACUAUUGCCAUGCAAACCGAGUCCGCUGCAGCAGCAGGUGUUACCUGGGAGUUCCGUUGUCAAUGGAUCAGAGGAUACAAAGAUGAAAAAAUAGAAGUUCGAUCAAAAUGCGCUAGAAUGUUUUAUUAUGGCUGGGACCCUGAAAAGAGACAGAUUUUAUGUAUUAAAAUUAAUGAAAAAAUUAAAGGGGAAAAGUAUAAAAACCUAUAUAACUUCCUAACCUGCCUUGUUUAAACUGUUGCAGCUUUAACAGCAUAGUGUCUCUAUAACUGCUUCUAUAAAUGUCUUGAAACUGGUAAGCGCUAACCAAAUGUACGUGACGACUUAGAAAGUAUUUCAAGCUUUUCAGCCACUGAAGUUCAUAUAUUCUCACAGUGGCUUGUGGCAAAAGGUCUUUUUUGUUUUACCAUGAAUAAUAAUUGUUUGUUCAGCCACUUAAUGUAAAAGCUUCCAGUUUACUUUCUUGCUUGCAUUAGCCUGUUUGUCUUGACCCAACCGGCUUGCAAAUGUGAAAGGAAACAAAAAAUCUCUUAGUGGGGCAACUGCACUACUUUUCUUUUGGAAGCCAGUGGGAUCAUUGUGCUCACGCUACUGUCUGAUAAAAAAGCUUUAAUGGAAAUUUGUGAAAGUAUUAUGGAAGUGAAAAGUACGUGAUUCUACUUUGCAGACUAAUCUAAAAAUCCAUUUAUAGAGCUUUAAUUUUUUACCUUACAAAAAUUCACAGACUUUUAACCUGCGUUGUCUCCAACACACGCUCUGUGCUGUGUACACGCUGCAUCUUAGAUGUCCUUUCAUGACCUAACGUAAAGUAGAAUCUGCGGAAGCUGCUGUGUGGGAGCUGGGGGGUAGUUCUCUGUGCAUUAAACAUUACAGAUGUCUGUAGUCAUCGGCACCAAAUACUGACACUUAUUUUUAAUUGUACAAUUAUAGGUGCAUUUAUUUGAAACUAAAUCAGCCUUCAAAUCAAAUGUUUAGAUUAUCCUAUACCACUUGGUUUAUUUGAUUUGAAGAGUCAGUGUGUGAAUACAUUACUGUAAAGUUUCUUUUCAGUGCUAUUUUUAACGUUUAUUUCUGUAGAUAACCAAAUAUAACUUGUUUAUACUCAGUCACAUUUUGGAUCCUUAUGUAGAAUAUAUGAGCAGGAGACAAGAAUCUGCUUGCAAUAAAUACAAACAUUCAAGACUGGUUUAAGUUUGCUCUCCAGUAAUUAAAAUCUAGUAUGAAUAUGAGAUGGUUUCAUAUUAGUCUGUAAUAAAAUGUAAGUACAUAACAGAAAA
ensembl:lncRNA